CCAUAUUCACCCAUUUAUUUAAAGGGGUUUUUUCCCUAAAGUGUAUUUGCAAAUACACUAUGAGGCUAGAGGUUGCCAGAGGCCAUUAGAGAGGAGGCAUGGAAAGCCCCCUGGAGAGCAAGAAGAAGGCUGGAACCUGGGCCAAGGCAGCCCAGGACUGAGAGCCAAGUAAGCAUGGGAAUUGUCCCAGCUAUAGUUUCUGGGAAAAUAAAUAGGCCUACCUGUUGACUUUUGACCUGCAGACUCCGUUCUUGCAAAAGGCAAACCAGACCAUACACUUUGGGGAUUCCCGCAAGAAGAUUCCUAAAACUGAAACUGGGGACUCUAGGAGGACACACAUCAUUAAGGAACUGGGCUUUCCUCUGAAGAGACUACCAAUUUGCAUUCCACCUACAAUGGAUGAGAAUCUCCAUCCUCCAAAGAUGAAAAAGAGGAUAUUAUCAUUCUUUUUAAUCUUUGCCAUCUGGAAGUUGCAUUCUGCUGAGCCCAGGAGUUAGAGAACAGACCACAGAGAUUUAAGUUCUCACUUGCGGGAAGUAGAUUUCAGUCCGCAUCCCAGCUCUGAAGCCCCAUUUCUCCUGGUGUAAAAUGAGCAGUCCCUUGCUACACCCUUCCACCAUGAUAUUUCUGCCUUGGAGCCAGCCUACCACAGACUGAACCCUCUGAAAUUUGAGCCAAAAUAUGUCUCUCCUUUAAAUUAG
rnacentral:lncRNA from 1 species